rnacentral:lncRNA from 1 species
UGCUAAUUAGCUGUCAGUCUCUAUAAACAACCAGCAGACUGCAUUUCAGAGAGAUACUCCACCAAAAAUUCCCAAACAAGAAUUAAACGUUUGUGCCGGACUGCAACUUCUACUCUUUGAUUUCAGGCUUUAGACUGAGUAAAUCUGCUUACCUUAAACAUUUCUCAUGUGAUAAAGGUUUUCAUUUUUCUUACCAGUUGACUACAGGUAAUAACAUCUGCUCUUCCCUCUAGACAGUUAUUUGAUUCAAUAAUCUUAGCCCCCCCAAAAAACAGAAAAGAAAAGAGAAGGAAAUGAAAGAAAAGGAUGAAAAGGAGAAGAGAGAAGAUGUUCAGAGAAGGAGGAUCAUGUCACAGCAGAUCCCCCGGGUCUGUUUCGCAUCCUCCCAAGAAGGCAGCUUCCAUACUUGCAUCUCAGUCAGUGCCCACCCUCUGGCUCCCUUGGACCAGGUAAAGAUGCAGUGCUAAAUCCAGGCCAUGCAAGUCUGUUGUGUUCUCCUAUUGCUGUUGACCUGGCCAUGUCUGAUUAGAUGAUCUCACAGAUGAAUGAUCACUCAUGUGUGUUUACUCCUUCGCCAUUUUGUGGAGGAUUAGGGUGGGGUAGAACCAGCUGGAUUCAUGUCCAUAACUAAAAAAAAUCAGAUUCCACCUCCCUCUUACCAGCACAACUGGGGCCUGCACACCUUCCAAAUACCAUAGGCCCCUUUCCCGACUGUGAUGAGAAGUUACAAGAAAAGAACACAGAGAAUACCUUAAAACAGAAAAUGGGAGGUGAAGUAGAGUGAAGAAUUAAGGCAAAAGACAGGAUGGAGUCUGCUGAAUAGCUCUUCCCACUUGAAAUCUGGAGACAGAAUUAGGACAACCAAAAGAAGAGUGAAGAGAAGAAGUCUCAGGGCCUGGAGUCCAAUUGCAUGAUUUCUAAUCCUGGAUUUACCAGUCUAGGCCUGAUGUCCAGGGUUUGAGGUGCACCGAUUACCUCCUCAGGAAAAAAAUGCAUCUACUUGUGAGCUGCCAGCUAUGCUUGUGAUUGCUUUCAACUGAAUGCUGGCAUUUAAUAACUUGCUACAAACAUCUGUACGCAAAAAACUGUGACUUUAUAGAAUAACCUAAAUAAUCCACCAAAACACAAUGGAUGAAUAAUUCUUUUAUAAUAUGAGUGGCAUUGUUAGGUAAAACUGAAGCAGGAAAUUAUAUGUAUGUAUACACACAUACGCAUGUAUAUACAUUCAAAUUAUUUAACACGAAAUCUUAUCUUUUCACUUUUCAGACAAGUGGAUGUGUUUUGCU